GCAGCCAUUUUGAACUAGGAGCUCCGUCUGAAGUGCUGAGCGCAAGGCCUCCGGAUGCGGACUCCUGUGAGCAAGCGAAAGAGGAAGCACAGAGGAAAAGGAAAACAAAAAAAGAGCUUCAGUUGUAUGGAGGAGAACACAGAGGAGCAGCACUAAAGGCAGCAAAACCUGUGAUGGUUGGAAACUUGAGAAAACAGUAGUCUUUCAACUGGGGACAUUUUUGUUGGCUAUCUAUCCACCUUCAGGAAGAGAAGAACUAUCACCCAGCGCUAGUAUCUCAUGGCUCCAGGGAGUCUUGGCCUGUUUCCUCUUCAAUAAGGAAGGGGCUCUGGAUUGGCACAGGUUCCAAAAUCUAAAAGACAUCCAUGGAAGGGGAUCGAGAGGUUGCAUGAUCUACAGAUCAAACCUCCAACACCUCCAAGUACAGGAGAGAAAAAAUAUGGGGAAAAUAGAGAUGGACACCAGAGAGGGGAAAAAAGACAAAGAGAGAAAGAGAAAUCUAAAAAUAAAGCAGUGAUUUUUGACUUUAAAAACUCAUACAACUCAACAUCAAGAAGAAAACCUGAUUGAAAAUUGGGCAGACUUGAAUAGACAUUUUUCCAAAGAAGACAUACAGAUGGCCAACAGGCAUGGAGAAAGAUGCUUAACGUCAUUAAUCAUCAGAGAAAUGCAAAUUAAAACAACAAUAUGAUAUCACUUCACAACUGUGAGAAUGGCCAUCAUCAAAAAGAACACAAAUAACAAAUAUUGGUGAGGAUGUGGAGAAAAGGGAACCCUCAUAUACUGUUGGUGGGAAUGUAAAUUGGUAUAGCCACUGUAGAAAACGGUAUGGAGGUUUCUCAAAAACUAAAGAUAGAACUACCAUUUGACCCAGCAAUUUUACUCCUGGGUAUAUAUCCAAAGAAAACGAAAACAGUAAUUCAAAAAGAUACAUGGACCUCAAUGUUCAUAGCAGCAUUAUUUACAAUAGCUAAUAUAUGGAAGCACCCUGUCCAUCAACAGAUAAAUGGAUAUCUGUGUGUGUGUGUGUGUAUACAUAUACAUACACAGUGGAAUACUACUCAACCAUAAAAAGAAUGAAAUUUUGCCAUUUACAACAACAUGGAUGGACUUAGAGGGUAUUAUGCUUACUGAAAUAAGUCAGAUAAAGACAAAUAUUGGAUGACAUCACUUAUAUGUGGAAUUUAAAAAGUAAAACAAUCUAGUGAAUAUAACAAAAAGGAAACAGAUUCACAGAUAUAGAGAACAAACUAGUGGUUAUCAGUGGGGAGGGAGAAGGGAGAGGGACAAGAUGGAGGUAGGGAAUUAAGAGAUAUAAACUGCUAUGUACAUAACAAACAAGCUACAAGGAUGUAUUGUAUAGCACAGGGAAUAUAGCCAAUAUCUUAUAAUGACUAUAAAUGGAGUGUAACCUUUAAAAUUGUGAACCACUGUAUUGUACAUCUGAA